rnacentral:rRNA from 1 species
AUACGUAGGGUGCAAGCGUUAAUCGGAAUUACUGGGCGUAAAGCGUGCGCAGGCGGUUUUGUAAGACAGUGGUGAAAUCCCCGGGCUCAAACUGGGAACUGCCAUUGUGACUGCAAGGCUGGAGUGCGGCAGAGGGGGGUGGAAUUCCGCGUGUAGCAGUGAAAUGCGUAGAUAUGCGGAGGAACACCGAUGGCGAAGGCAAUCCCCUGGGCCUGCACUGACGCUCAUGCACGAAAGCGUGGGGAGCAAACAGGAUUAGAUACCCUGGUAGUCCACGCCCUAAACGAUGUCAACUGGUUGUUGGGGAUUUAUUUUCUCAGUAACGAAGCUAACGCGUGAAGUUGACCGCCUGGGGAGUACGGCCGCAAGGUUAAAACUCAAAGGAAUUGACGGGG